rnacentral:tRNA from 1 species
GAGGGUAUAGCUCAGUGGUAGAGUGCAUGCUUAGUAUGACAGAGGCCCUGGGUUCAAUCUCCCGUACCUCCA